ensembl:snRNA U6 U6 spliceosomal RNA
GUGCUUGCUUCAGCGGCACACAUACUACAAUUGGAACAAUACAGAGAUUAGCAUGGCCCCUGCGCAAGGAUGACAUGCAAAUUCAUGAAGCAUUCCAUAUACAU